UCGGGAAUAUUGCGCAAUGGAGGAAACUCUGACGCAGUGACGCCGCGUGCAGGAAGAAGGUUUUCGGAUUGUAAACUGCUUUAGACAGGGAAGAAAAAGACAGUACCUGUAGAAUAAGCUCCGGCUAACUACGUGCCAGCAGCCGCGGUAAUACGUAGGGAGCAAGCGUUAUCCGGAUUUAUUGGGUGUAAAGGGUGCGUAGACGGGAAAACAAGUUAGUUGUGAAAUCCCUCGGCUUAACUGAGGAACUGCAACUAAAACUAUUUUUCUUGAGUGCUGGAGAGGAAAGUGGAAUUCCUAGUGUAGCGGUGAAAUGCGUAGAUAUUAGGAGGAACACCAGUGGCGAAGGCGACUUUCUGGACAGUAAACUGACGUUGAGGCACGAAAAGUGUGGGGAGCAAAACAGGAUUAGAUACC
rnacentral:rRNA from 1 species